rnacentral:lncRNA from 1 species
UGCACGCCAAGUUAGUCCCCGGUGCCGAUAUGAACAACCGUCGAAUAUCGGCAGCGACGAGCCAGCAGCAACGCCAUCGAGAGUUCAGGGAUUAACAGGAUACCAAACAAAAGUGCUGUAAUGUUGACAUGUAUCAAAACUCAAAAUGAUCAAAUAAUAAGUCUGUUAAAACAUGCAGGCACAUCGAAAGGUAGCCUAAAACCGGAAUUCAAAUUCCCAAUUCAAAAUGCCGAUGAAUUAACUACAACUGAAUUAUUAAUAGAGAAAAAAGAAAAUUAUGACAAUUUGGAUUCAUACAUGAGAACUAUUGGAGGCAGGGAUAUUGCGAGCAGUGUCUCGGCUAAUGAAAUUUUGUUUCACUGACCAGCUGGCUCAACAGUACAACUUUUAUGGAAAGAGAUCGAACAAAAAGCCUUUCUGCCAACUGCGCCUGCGAGAUUGUAUCGUGGAAGGAGUUGUCACCACUACAUCUGGGUCUACAGCUAAAGACGUAGAAGAUUCCAUUAAAAUUUGGCUAAAACAUGCCCCCGAAAGAUUGAAGAAGAUUAAUAAACAACAAUAAACAUGGCAGAGAAAAUAAAAUAUUCGAGAAAAGCCAUAGUUGGCCAACGUCAAUUAUUGAGAAGAGCCAAAGAAGCACAGUUAAAUGUAAUUUCAAAUUUAAAAAAGAGUACUACAACUGUAAGUGCAUCCUCUUCCUUAGUUAAUUUGCCAUGUACUUCAUAUAAUAAUUCUCAAUCUGAAAUUGUAUUCCAAGGUUCUUAGUCCGAGUUCUUAACGGCUAAUAAGUAUGAGAGUACAGUCCCUGCUGGCAGAAAGCAUGAAACUUGGCAUGUAUAUAGCUUAUAGGUUUAUAAGAAAAUAUGGAAGUAGAAACACGCCGAGGUGUCAAUGUUUCCCCUCUUUCCCCCAACUUUUGUAUCCCUGAUUUC